rnacentral:rRNA from 1 species
AUUGAACGCUGGCGGCAUGCCUUACACAUGCAAGUCGAACGGUAACGCGGGGCAACCUGGCGACGAGUGGCGAACGGGUGAGUAAUGCAUCGGAACGUACCCAGUAGUGGGGGAUAGCCCGGCGAAAGCCGGAUUAAUACCGCAUACGACCUAAGGGUGAAAGCGGGGGACCGUAAGGCCUCGCGCUAUUGGAGCGGCCGAUGCCAGAUUAGGUAGUUGGUGGGGUAAAGGCCUACCAAGCCUUCGAUCUGUAGCUGGUCUGAGAGGACGACCAGCCACACUGGGACUGAGACACGGCCCAGACUCCUACGGGAGGCAGCAGUGGGGAAUUUUAGACAAUGGGCGAAAGCCUGAUCCAGCCAUGCCGCGUGCGGGAAGAAGGCCUCGGUGUAACGAC